AUUGAACGCUGGCGGCAUGCCUAACACAUGCAAGUCGAACGAGACCUUCGGGUCUAGUGGCGCACGGGUGCGUAACGCGUGGGAAUCUGCCCUUUGCUUCGGAAUAACAGUUAGAAAUGACUGCUAAUACCGGAUGAUGUCUUCGGACCAAAGAUUUAUCGCCCAAGGAUGAGCCCGCGUAGGAUUAGGUAGUUGGUGGGGUAAUGGCCCACCAAGCCGACGAUCCUUAGCUGGUCUGAGAGGAUGAUCAGCCACACUGGGACUGAGACACGGCCCAGACUCCUACGGGAGGCAGCAGUGGGGAAUAUUGGACAAUGGGCGAAAGCCUGAUCCAGCAAUGCCGCGUGAGUGAUGAAGGCCUUAGGGUUGUAAAGCUCUUUUACCAGGGAUGAUAAUGACAGUACCUGGAGAAUAAGCUCCGGCUAACUCCGUG
rnacentral:rRNA from 1 species